GACAUUCGCAAAUUUCCUUUCCUUCAACAACCUUUGUUUGAGUCGAGAAGCCCAUUUAUUUUGUUAUUAUACCAGGCAUACAAUUAACGGUAGAGAACACAGAAAAAAAAGAGCCUCUUGGUGCAAGGAGUACAACAUGCAGGGCUUCGAGUAGUUGUAGGUCUUGGAGUUAAGGGUGCCCCCCACCCCCACUUCCAUACCCAGAUCCGUAGCCUGAACCGUAACCAGACCCGUAGCCUGACCCCGAGCCGGNN
rnacentral:lncRNA from 1 species